ensembl:lncRNA
GCUGUAAUAUUGGUACUGAUCAAAUUCAGCCACAACCAAAGGAUUACAUCUUUCUUUUUUCCUUAAAUUUGAAGACACCAUUGACAACUCAGAUGACGAAGCAGUGACAGGAAUGAAGUCAACCAAGGCAGAGACUGGUGAAGCUCAUGAUAUCACUGCUAUAAGAAUCAAGGAGGAAUAUCUGGAAGGUAGGACGCCUUUUGUGAGGUUUUCUGAUUCAAUGAGCAGUUGCAGCAGCAUGAUAUUACUGAGGGGCUAUCAGUGCUCUUACUGGGGUCAAUCAAUGAGUUUUGAGUUUAUAAGUGCACAAUGACAGCUGCAUAUUUUUCAAGAAAACAUAAAUACACAUAAAUACAGACAUCUUGAUCUUCAGCUGCAACAUCAAACCAAAAAGUACAUUGUUGUAAGCAUCGCUUAAAAUAUUGAGAUUUUUCCACUUUAUUUCACAUCUCUUGUUAACACUUUCAUCGCUAAAAAAAACAGUGAGAAAGAUCAAGUCUUCAAGCACAUCGACCAGCACAAGUGACAAGACAGCAGAUUGUAUAAUGUUUAUUUUAGUUCUGUUUUUCUGUAAACAAUGACUAAGUCUUUUUCUGUUCAUCUUCCAGUUAUUACAAGUGAAACCUCUGAUGAAUCUGAUGUAGAGAUUGUCAAAAUAAUUCCCAAAUUUACCCAGAAGCGCAAGUUUGUGCGUCAAAGAAAAUCUGUUAAAAGAAAGAUUGAAGGUGAUUUCUUGUCCACAUAUCUGAAGCUUUUUGUUGUAUUAAGGAGAUAUUAUUAAACUGUUCAUCUGUGCAGAUUUUUCAGAUGAUGAACCAUUGAGUAAAGUCUCAAAGAAACAUGAUCCAAAACCUCAGAGACGGACCAAAACAGCAAACCUGCCAAUGAGACCCAGAAGAGAAAGGAGGGCAACAAUGAAAACGGACACCACUGACGACUCAGAUGACGAAGCAGUGACAGGAAUGAAGUCAACCAAGGCAGAGACUGGUGAAGCUCAUGAUUUCACUGCUAUAAGAAUCAAGGAGGAAUAUCUGGAAGAUACCACUGACAACUCAGAUGACGAAGCAGUGACAGGAAUGAAGACAACCAAGGCAGAGACUGGUGAAGCUCAUGAUUUCACUGCUAUAAUAAUCAAGGAGGAAUAUCUGGAAGACACCAUUGACAACUCAGAUGACGAAGCAGUGACAGGAAUGAAGUCAACCAAGGCAGAGACUGGUGAAGCUCAUGAUAUCACUGCUAUAAGAAUCAAGGAGGAAUAUCUGGAAGUUAUUACAAGUGAAACCUCUGAUGAAUCUGAUGUAGAGAUUGUCAACAUAAUUCCCAAAUUUACCCAGAAGCGCAAGUUUGUGCGUCAAAGAAAAUCUGUUAAAAGAAAGAUUGAAGAUUUUUCAGAUGAUGAACCAUUGAGUAAAGUCUCAAAGAAACAUGAUCCAAAACCUCAGAGACGGACCAAAACAGCAAACCUGCCAAUGAGACCCAGAAGAGAAAGGAGGGCAACAAUGAAAACGGACACCACUGAUGACUCAGAUGACGAAGCAGUGACAGGAAUAAAGACAACCAAGGCAGAGACUGGUGAAGCUCAUGAUAUCACUGCUAUAAGAAUCAAGGAGGAAUAUCUGGAAGAUACCACUGACGACUCAGAUGACGAAGCAGUGACAGGAAUGAAGUCAACCAAGGCAGAGACUGGUGAAGCUCAUGAUAUCACUGCUAUAAGAAUCAAGGAGGAAUAUCUGGAAGAUACCAUUGACAACUCAGAUGAUCAACCAGCGAGAGAAAUGAUGUCAAACAUUACAGAGACUGGUGAAGCUUAUGAUUACAGAGCUCUAAGAUUAACGGAGGAAUGGAUACAUUUUCGAAUUCCACUGGCAACUCAGAUGACGAAGCAGUGACAGAAAUGAAGUCAACGAAGGCAGAGACUGGUGAAGCCCAUAUCACAGCUCUAAGAAUCACAGAGGAAUGGAUAUAUUUUCUAGUAAGUUAUUAAUCCAGGAGACAACAGACUAUUUGCAUUUUGCUAUUUUUGUACUCUCACCGUGUUACAUUAAAUAUAUUAAAGUUUUUCAAAUCAUCUCUGACCAUUUACUGAUUUAUAUUUCAAUUUGUUACCAAGCUAUCCAUCUGGAAAGGAUGGAUGGCUUCAGAUCAUCUUGAUCAAGGAAACUUUGGCACGCACAUGCCAGUGUGAAUUCUACAGACAAGAACAUUCCAUAGCUGCUUUAAAACUACAUUUUGCUUUUUUCAUGUGAAUUUUCAAUUCACCAAAUCCAUUUUGUUAGAAAUAUUUGAAAUGCAAUACCUACAGAGAACAUCCAGGGUCUCCAAGAAGCCCUUAAACUCCUUCAGCCCUAUAUAUUUUUCCGAGGCGUCAUCGCUAAUUCAUAAAUCCAAGACCACCAAGUGUCUUUUAGAUCCCAUCCCAACACACCUGUUGAAGGAUGUUCUACCAUUGAUAGGCAGUUCUAUCCUGGACCAGAUCAAUGGUUCUUUAGUGACAGGUUAUGUACCCUGGUCCUACAAGGUGGCAGUGAUUAAGCCGUUGCUUAAAAAAACAUCACUGGAUCCUGACGUAUUAGCAAAUUAUAGGCCAAUAUCCAACCUUCCUUUUAUCUCUAAAGUUCUUGAGAAGGUGGUGAUGACUCAGUUACUGGAGCACCUGCAGAGGAACAGCCUGUUUGACAUGUUUCAGUCAGGCUUUAGAGCUCAUCACAGCACAGAAACAGCACUUCUUAAAGUUACUAAUGAUCUCCUCAUAGCUUCAGAUCAUGGACUGGUCUCUAUGCUGGUUCUGCUGGACCUCAGUGCUGCUUUUGAUACAGUCUAUCACAGCAUCCUGUUACAGAGACUGGAACAUGUGAUUGGGAUUAAAGGGACAGCACUAGACUGGUUUAGAUCAUAUUUAUCUGAUAGAUACCAGUUUGCUCAUGUCCAUGGGGUUCCCUCUUCAUACAGUAGGGUUAGCCAUGGAGUUCCUCAAGGUUCUGUACUCGGACCAAUCCUCUUCACAUUGUACAUGCUUCCCUUAGGGAACAUUAUUCGACAGCAUGGGAUACAUUUUCAUUGUUAUGCUGAUGACACUCAGCUUUAUUUAUCUAUGAAACCAGAGGAGACAGAGAAGUUAGUGAAGCUUCAGACCUGUCUUAAAGACAUAAAGUCUUGGAUGUCUUCAAAUUUCCUCCUCCUUAACUCAGGAAAAACAGAGGUCAUGGUGUUUGGUCCUGAACCUCUCAGGGAU